rnacentral:rRNA from 1 species
AAGUCGUACGGAGAGUGGGGCAACUCACUCUCAGUGGCAAACGGGUGAGUAACGCGUGAAUAACCUGCCUUUGAGAAGGGGAUAACUGUCCGAAAGGAUAGCUAAUACCCUAUAUUGCCUUUUGUCACUAAGGCAAAAGGUGAAAGCGAGGCUGUCAAAGGCUUCGGCUCAAAGAGGGGUUCGCGUCCUAUCAGGUAGUUGGUGGGGUAAUGGCCUACCAAGCCAAUGACGGGUAGCUGGUCUUAGAGGAUGAUCAGCCACAGUGGGACUGAGACACGGCCCGCACCCCUACGGGGGGCAGCAGUGGGGAAUCGUGGGCAAUGGGCGCAAGCCUGACCCCGCAAUGCCGCGUGAGGGAAGAAGCCCUUCGGGGUGUAAACCUCUGUCAGAUGGGAAGAU